AGUGAACGCUGGCGGCAGGCCUAAUACAUGCAAGUCGAACGGCAGCACAGCAGAGCUUGCUCUGUGGGUGGCGAGUGGCGGACGGGUGAGGAAUACAUGGGAAUCUGCCCAGUCGUGGGGGAUAACGUAGGGAAACUUACGCUAAUACCGCAUGCGCCCUUCGGGGGAAAGCCGGGGACCUUCGGGCCUGGCGCGAUUGGAUGAGCCCAUGUCGGAUUAGCUAGUUGGCGGGGUAACGGCCCACCAAGGCGACGAUCCGUAGCUGGUCUGAGAGGAUGAUCAGCCACACUGGAACUGAGACACGGUCCAGACUCCUACGGGAGGCAGCAGUAGGGAAUAUUGGACAAUUGGCGCAAGCCUGAUCCAGCCAUGCCGCGUGAGUGAAGAAGGCCCUCGGGUUGUAAAGCUCUUUUGUCCGGAAAGAAAAGCACUGGGUUAAUACCCUGGUGUCCUGACGGUACCGGAAGAAUAAGCACCGGCUAACUUCGUGCCAGCCGCCGCCGUAACAC
rnacentral:rRNA from 1 species